UUGGAUCCAGACUUUGAUCAUGGCUCAGGACGAACGCUGGCGGCGUGCCUAAUACAUGCAAGUCGAGCGAGCUUGCCUAGAUGAUUUUAGUGCUUGCACUAAAUGAAACUAGAUACAAGCAAGCGGCGGACGGGUGAGUAACACGUGGGUAACCUGCCCAAGAGACUGGGAUAACACCUGGAAACAGAUGCUAAUACCGGAUAACAACACUAGACGCAUGUCUAGAGUUUGAAAGAUGGUUCUGCUAUCACUCUUGGAUGGACCUGCGGUGCAUUAGCUAGUUGGUAAGGUAACGGCUUACCAAGGCAAUGAUGCAUAGCCGAGUUGAGAGACUGAUCGGCCACAUUGGGACUGAGACACGGCCCAAACUCCUACGGGAGGCAGCAGUAGGGAAUCUUCCACAAUGGGCGAAAGUCUGAUGGAGCAACGCCGCGUGAGUGAAGAAGGGUUUCGGCUCGUAAAGCUCUGUUGGUAGUGAAGAAAGAUAGAGGUAGUAACUGGCCUUUAUUUGACGGUAAUUACUUAGAAAGUCACGGCUAACUACGUGCCAGCAGCCGCGGUAAUACGUAGGUGGCAAGCGUUGUCCGGAUUUAUUGGGCGUAAAGCGAGUGCAGGCGGUUCAAUAAGUCUGAUGUGAAAGCCUUCGGCUCAACCGGAGAAUUGCAUCAGAAACUGUUGAACUUGAGUGCAGAAGAGGAGAGUGGAACUCCAUGUGUAGCGGUGGAAUGCGUAGAUAUAUGGAAGAACACCAGUGGCGAAGGCGGCUCUCUGGUCUGCAACUGACGCUGAGGCUCGAAAGCAUGGGUAGCGAACAGGAUUAGAUACCCUGGUAGUCCAUGCCGUAAACGAUGAGUGCUAAGUGUUGGGAGGUUUCCGCCUCUCAGUGCUGCAGCUAACGCAUUAAGCACUCCGCCUGGGGAGUACGACCGCAAGGUUGCAACUCAAAUGAAUUGACGGA
rnacentral:rRNA from 1 species